ACUGCCUCAAGCACUCCCGGGAUUGCCGGCGCAAGAGCCUUCCUGUCCUUGGAACACGGGAUUUCUGGGAUCCAAGGGUGUGACUGGAGAUGAGCUAUGAGCUGUGGGAUGGAUGUGCUAACAACCUUUGGCAGGAAAGAGAGGACUGGACCAGCACUUCAUCCUGGCUGGAGACGUUCCAGGGCCAAGGAAUUGCCACGCCAAGGAGUGGCUGGGAAGUGAGAGUCGGACAAAGCGGCGGAAGCCAGGGUGAAACAUCUCACAAAGGCCAACUAUCGCCCAGCUUUCCCAAGCAGACAUUAUUCCAUGCCACAGCAUUGGAUACAACUGGAGCCCAACUUGGCUUUGAAGGCAAAAUCCUGACCUGGAGAUGAUCAGCAUUGUUGCAGCAUCAAGGGGAUUUUCCCAUUUCUCCUUUUGCGAUGGACAUGCAAAUUCUGAGGCUGAAAUUGGGAUUUUAUGCUUCUGAAGGCUUGGGACUUCUUUUAGGGAAUCAAACUACGUCCAAUCCCUCCAGAGGUGCAGCCCUGAGGUGGUGGGGGGAGCAUCCUCACGUUGAUCUGGUAAAAACAUCAUCCAAAUCCAAUGUGCUGCAGCAAACAGGCCAGGGAGAUGAAGGAAACCACAUUAAAAACAUGAUGAAAGUUGCCUCGAGGCUCCUUAUGUCACACUUGGGCUCUGGGCACUUGGGAUUUUUUUAUUUCUUCCCUUUUUUCUCCCUUUAAUAAACCCAAACUUGGCAUUCUUUGCACACACACGCAGAGGUGCAAGCCAAGGGGACACUAAAAGCUCACGGGCAAGGGGGAUUCGGGUUCCUUGGCUCCCAUUGGAAUUUCUGAGGCCUUGCAGCAGAUGACCUGCCUCCUUGGGUGGAAAAAAAGCAAUUUUCAUUCUAAAUAAGCAGGUAAAAAUUGGUCCAGACCAAUCUGGAUCAUUUCUGUUGACCCCAGAGUCGCUUGGCAUCACCUGGUGCCUUCAUCCAAAGAGAGGAAAGGGUUGACCCUGUGAAUCCUAGGGGUGUGACAAAGAGGCAAAAUCCCCAAAAUUAAUUAUUUUUACCCCAUUCUGAGCUCCCUGAAGCAAGCAGAGAGAUAAACAAAACUCACACGUGGUUUAUUUUUGGGUCAUUCCACUCCCAAACUGAUUUUUGGGGUGAUGGUUUCCUUCCCUGAGCCGAGACACCAACAACCCCCCAGCCCUGCAUCCUGCAGGUGGAACUGCUGAGGGAGGGAGGAAUAGGAAGGAGAGGAAGGAGAGGAAGGAGAGGAAGGAGAG